UUUUUUUUUUUUUUUUUUUUUGAGAUGGAGUCUCACCCUUUGCCCAGGCUGAAAUGGAAUCAUGCCACUGCACUCCAGCCUGGGUGACAGAGUGAGACUCCCAUCUCAAAAAAAAAAAAAAAAAAAAGAUAUGGUGGGUCCAAGUAACCAAAAUUGCUUUGGCAGUGACAGUGUAAAAGAUCUCCAUUGAGAGACUCCCCACAGAGUAGGAGAAAAUGUCUCAGAUAUGGAGGGAAUAAUAUGCAACAAUAUCUGUUCCCUGCCUGCCCUGUGCCUUGGACCAUGUUGAGUCCACAAGGGUAAAGUGACAAAGAGAAGCUGCUGGCAAGGGUCUAGGUGACAAAAGAGCCCAGAGUUAAGAAAAGGGUGUAAAACCUAUUGCCUGUAAGGUACUCCUCUAAAAUUUGGCAGCUUCUCUGAACAGUACCUUUUUGUUGUUUUUCAUUUAAAAACUGUCUUGUAUAUACUUAAUCCACUCUAUAGUUCUCAAAUACAUUAUCAAUUAAUUCUCUUGGGAUUGCUAGUCACCUUUUCUAUAAUUUUGCCUCCUAAUACUUUCUGCUUUAUUAUAUUUGCUAUAACAAAUAUUCUUCUAAAAUUAGUUGUAAAGAUGAAACAGUGUUGAAGUUUCAAAUAGAUAUGGGAAGUAGAGAUGUGAUGAAAGGAUAUUUACAUUCUGGUUAUCAGAUUUUUGGAUUUCAAAGACCAGUCGACUUUCUUUUAGUAUUUAGGGGACUGAUAUAAGGCUGAAGAAUUUUUACAUUUCCAAUUUUUGAACAGUGAAACAAAUCUAAUAGAAUAAUUUUUAUUUUACAACUCAUUCAUUGUGUUUUAUAGUUUUUCACUUCAGCACAAAUUGGUAAAAUAACAUCGGGCAAAGCACUGGUUCCUGGUUUAAUGAGCAGGGUUUAACAAAUUGAUUAUAUUUUUUGAGUACAUUUACUAUAGAUCCCUUUCAGGUAGAUGCACUUUUCCAAUCACUUGUUUUCCUAUUUAUGAAGAGACAAUGAACUUUUGCUACUAAGAUGUAUUUUUAAUAAUGAGCCAUGGUGCCAAUAGUUCGAAACAUCUGAACCAUGUAUUUUGCUUUAAAUCCUUAUACACAGCCUUCUUGGACAAUAAUCGUAUCACUUACAUUUGUAUAACACUUGAUUUUCAAAGCUUUCAUAUACACUACUGCACUUUAUUCUUUGAAUAGUUUACAUUUUGUUAUCCAUUCUUCCAUUACUCAUCAUGAGGAAAUUAGAAUUUCAGAAAUGUCAGCUUUGCCUUCAUUCUGAGGUACUAAUUUUCACAUUUCUUUCAGAUGGUGAAUGUAUAUUAUUUCUUUUUUUAUUUUUUUUCUUUUUAUUUUUUUUGAGAUGGAGUCUUGCUGUGUCGCCAGGCUGGAGUGCAGUGGCACGAUCUCGGCUCACUGCAACCUCCGCCUUCUGGGUUCAAGUGAUUCUCCUGCCUCAGCCUCCUAAGUAGCUGGGACUAUGGGCGCACGCCACCACGCCCAGGUAAUUUUUGUAUUUUUAGUAGAGACGGUGUUUCACUGUGUUGGCCAGGAUGGUCUUGAUCUCUUGACCUUGUGAUGUGCCCACCUUGGCCUCCCAAAGUGCUGGGAUUACAGGCGUGAGCCACCACACCUGGCCAUAUAUUAUUUCUUUAGCCCUAUUUUGGGAAUUACUCCUUCACCCUACAAACAUUUGAGCUAUGUGUCUUGUGAAAAAUGCAAAUUUCUUUUUGUAGAUAUGUUCUUCAGACCUUGUCACAAGAGUUUUUACCCUUGGUGUGUGGAUGAACUUCAGAAAUGUCAUUAUACCCUUAAAAUUAUAAAAUUAGGAACACAGGCAUUUUCCUGAAGAAUGGGUCAAAAGUUUUCAUGAUAUUCUCUAUUAAGAUCCAGGCACCAAAACAGAACAACACUGCUCAACUAAAGGAGGUAUGAGGGGCUAUUAUAAUUUAAUCCUAAAACUACAUUUAAACAAGUUAUUUGCUAAAUUAGUCUUCUAUUUUACCUUUUUGAAAACACCAGUAUUACUUACUGUUUGAAUUUAAAAGCAUAUGAAAUAAAACUAAAUCCUACCAAUGGCAGUCCUACAAAUGACAUUAUAGAAAGCAUUUGUUAAACAAUGUGCUGAUUAAUUGGAAAACUUAGAAAAGGAUUCUUGUCAUGAAGAUAUUUCAGCACUGCUAGUUCACAGCACAGGGAGAAUUUUGUACAUUUAGCAGAACCACUGAAUUAGAAAGUCAGGAAACUUGGGUUCUAGUACCAGUUUUAUUUAUAACUAACCAUGUACAAAUCAUUUAUCUAUAAAAUAAUGGUUAACAUCUACUUCUUAAUUCACAAAUAGAUCACAAAACCAAGAUCCUUCCCAAGAAAACCUCACUGAAAACCACGACAUUCCCACUAUUUAGGCUAGGUUUUAACUCAAAGGUUAAGAACUCAAAGGCUGAGAAAGACAAACUGGAGCAUUUGUCUUUUAUUUACCAGUUGCAUACCUUAAUUCUGCAGAUGGAUAAUCUGGUUGACAUAAGCAUUGCCAUCUCUCAAUUUUUACAAAACAAAAAGCUACCAACAAGAAGUUAAAUGGUGAAGAAGAAUUUGGCUCAAAAAUAACACAACUGAGAAAUAGCUUUGUAUUAAGUGCAGUACUUAUAACAGAAUUUAGCUUUAGGUCACUAAAGCACAUUUACGCUUUUGAAGAAACAUGUAUUGCUAGGGCAGGCAUCUUACUUCACUAGAAAUAACGUUAAACUUGUAGACUGUUCAAACGGCCAAUCAAAAUGACUAAGAAACAUGAUUGUGCGUUUUGUUUGUUUCUUUAUCCUUUCUCUUCCCUUUUCGUUCAAAAAUUCAGUUCCCCAUCCUAGACCAGACUCCUGUCCUCUGCCAGGGUGUAAGAAAAGUUAGCAUUCUGUCACUACAGAACAUAGAAGAGGAAUUAGCAUGUUAUUGAAUAAAGAAUCAGGAAGAUAAUUCUAAUUGGGUAUAGAAAAAUUUAUACACCAUAAACAUCUGUAUAUGUACACCACUUUUAUAUACGUAUUGUGACAAUCACAUGUAUUAAUAAACCUUCAAAAGGUAAGCACCUAUAUUUUCUUGUAAUUAACAAUUUCAGUUUUGUGCAAUUUAGUCUAUAUUUAUGGACUUUCCCUUACAUAUGGUGACAGAGAGACUGAAACAUGGUUCACAGAGAAACACAGAACAUAUACAAAUCUCAUAAUAAAAUAACCAUGUAUACCACUGUUUAGGGAAAUAUUUUAGAGGAAACAUACUUUCACUACUGGCCCCAAACCCCGUUAUUCACUUAGGUUCUUAAAUGUCAACUUUUAAUACAAAAAUACCUUCAAGCGGAUAAGAACAUUCACAGUGACUUACAAAAUGGACAAUAUUCCAAUGCUACACAAAACAGUUUUAUAAUACACAGCUUAAAGUUUUAAAGUUCUUGGCUGGCACUUGAUUUUUUUUUUAUAGCUGAUAGACAUGAUAACUACUGAUCUGAAUAAAAUACCAUUUUUAGCUUAUAUAUAUGUUCUAAACCAUAUUACCUCACAAAACAGUAAAGAAUAAAUCACUUUCUGAUGGAGAAUCCUCUAGGACAAACACCAAACCUAUACAGCCAAAAUAUUUUAGGGAGGCAAAUAAACAUUUUAAGACAAGUCAUGACCAGUGGAUAAAAAUUUGCAUUACCCAAUUAUAUGUCUAGGAAUUGUUCUUCUGCGUCAAUAAAGCAUGUAUUGGGCAUAGAUUAAAAAUACAAACGUAAAAAGCAAGUUACCUUUUUUUUUGGUUUAGAAGGGUGUUUAAUUCAUGACAUUACUAGAAUGGGUGUUUUUUGGGAAAGAAAAUUGGUCACAUAUACCAAAUACACAUUUUAUAUUCCAAAAUAAAAACUGAGAUUUAUUUUAAAACAGUGGAAUCCUUAUUUUUAUUUACUUAUUUUUUACUUUCUGUGAGCUUGUGAGGCCAUUCUGCACAUUUAUCAAAAUGAAAUCAUUAUUCAGUAACCUUUAUAUAUAUAUAUAUAUCCAAUUUUUUUUCCUUUGUAGAAAACCAAAAUAAUUUUACAAACUAUAUUUAACUUAGAAUAUAAAGAACUGACUAGUGUAAAAUUUUGAAAAUCUACCACUUUAUUUUGAAGGAAAGUAUACAUCCUUCAAAACUCCACCAACAAUUCCUAGUCCAGUUUUCUAUUGUACAGAUUAAAAAGUUAAAUUCCUUGUGGCACUAACCAAAACUUAA
ensembl:lncRNA